UGGGAACCUUCCCUAUGGUUCGGAAUAGCUCAGGGAAACUUGGGGUAAUACCGAAUAAGCCCUUCGGGGGAAAGAUUUAUCGCCAUUGGAUGGGCCCGCGUCGGAUUAGCUAGUUGGUGGGGUAACGGCCUACCAAGGCGACGAUCCGUAGCUGGUCUGAGAGGAUGAUCAGCCACACUGGGACUGAGACACGGCCCAGACUCCUACGGGAGGCAG
rnacentral:rRNA from 1 species